rnacentral:snoRNA from 1 species
AAUGUCCAGUUCCUCUAUCAUCAGAUUCAAACGCUGGUCUUUGUGGUCCCAAUAGGGGAGGAGUACAUGAAGCUGGCCUUGCAGUGCUGUGGUCUCACACUGGUCAUGUCGGCUGGAUUCAAAUGCGU